AUGAGGCUCUAGAGGUUUGGGAAGUCGUGCUUAGCCCUUGCAGGAAGAGGCCAGACUCCAGAACAGCGCACUCACCUGGAGAUGGAGUGGAAACUGCUGCUGCGCACCGCCCCGGAGGAGGACCCGGAUCGAGGAAGGAUGCUGUGCAAAAAUGACAUGCGGACGCUCGCCAACGACAUGAAGCAACAGCGAACUCAAAGUUUCCCCAAGUUCCACAUUCUAUGGGAGGCCAUUUGACUCAUGGAGCGGAGGCAGAGGGUCAUAUGGUGACCUCAGGUGGAUAUUUGCAGCAAAUCACUAGAAUUCACUUUGGCGGACUGGCCUGUUAGUCACACAUAAAAGAAAAAUACAAUGCUAUUUAACUUAGUGGGCCCAAAGUUACUGUUGAAAUAAUUUUGUGGUUACUAUUUAAAUUUUAAUAUAUCUCUUGGACAUAGGUUAAACAGAUACUUUUAAUUGAUUUCUAUGCAUUUUGCUACUUUCAAAUCUCAUCCAUUUUUUUUGGGGGGGGGUGACCAACACUAAAUUCUUUUAGAAAAGAAUUUAAACUUAUUCUUUGAUAAUGUCACACUUGUACACAAUAUAUUGAGCAUAUCCACCCCAAACCCCCUCUUUCCCACUCCUCUGGGACCUUUCCUAACACACCCCCUUCCACCUCUAUGGCUCCUUUAAAAAAGAAAUAACACACCGAGUCCAUUUAGAGCUGUUUGUACUCACACAGGUGUGGGACCAUCCAUCUGAGCACGAGCAAUCCACUAGCAGCUCCUGCCUUCUCUCGGUAGCCAUCUUUUGCCAAUAGCUCCUCAGCUGGGUGGAGCCUCCUGAGCCCCUCCCCCAGCCAUGAUUGACAGUUGGCUGGUUUGAUCUUAGGCAGGUCUGGUGUAUCUGCUGUGAGCUCAUGAAGGCAAUGACCACACAUGUCCAGAAGACAGUGUUUCUCAGUACUCUUUCUUAUCCUCUGGCUUACAUCCUUUCUAUCCACCUUUCUAUGAUGUUCCCUUGUAGGGGUUGAUUUUUUAUAUAUGUAUGUAUUUAUUAUGUAUAUAUGCACAUAUAUGUAUGUAUAUAUAAUGUAUAUCAUAUAAAUGUCCCACUUAGGGCUAAGUAACCAACAGUCACUUAUUCUCAGUACUUUGACCUAUCACAUUUUCAUCUUUUUAAAAAAGGUUAAAUUUCAGCAUGUUUUUUUUCUGU